AUGUCCAAACAGUAAGGUACUAUCUGAAUAUCCCUAAAUAUCUUCUUUUACUACACAAGGAAGAGGAGUUAAACCACCAUGCACACAAAGUCUUUCUGCCUCUGCCCCAGCAUAUUGGAAGGACAGAAGACAAAAGAAUAAAGAAAAUGAACAGGCUUUAAAAAGUUGGGUCAUAACCUUCCUACAGAAGGUAACCUUCCAAGUCACUUGGUGCCAUCAGCAGGUUGUAUGCCCCUUGAGUUCCCCAUCCAGAGGGGAAUACCAUCUUCAUCUCUCUCCCUUCUAGCUCCAUCACAAAGCAAAUUGAAGACACUGAAAUAUACUUUUGAAACAAUGAUGUUAAAUCAAGCUUGCAAUCCAAAACAAUGAUGUUUUUGCUCUGUGUUUAUAGCAUAUUUGAACAGGUUCAUAACCAUGGACAACUCUCUGGAAAUUCUGCUAUUAGCAGGGUUUAAGCGUUUACCUAAGUAAGGCAGAAUGUUUUGAGAGG